GGGAGUAACGACGGUUACAUCGGGAGUGACUGAAUAAACUUACUGGCAUAUAGCUGGUUAAGGUGAUGAGACACAGGUGAUGCUGCUGCUCGUAAGAGUAGAAUCGACCAAUCAAUCGGGUCUCAGGCAGAGAAGUUUUCUAAUCUGUAGAAAUGCCCUUCUCUUGUUGGUAUACAGGAAUCCAACCUCCCCCUUU
rnacentral:ncRNA from 1 species